rnacentral:rRNA from 1 species
AUGCGUCGCAACUUCGACACUAUUACUAUUCUCAUGUACUGGAGGCUGUGGAAGGAGAGGAACUCCAGGAUUUUUGACCAGGUGGCAAGCAGCGCCGACAUGGUGCUGGAUUUGGUCUGUGAAGAUAUUGCGGUUUGGCGUGUGGCCGGUUGUAUUGUUGAGCUCGGAGCCUAA